UUUUUCGAGUAUUAAGGGUUUAUUUUGUCGUUAAAGAUUAGAGAUAAUCUAAUAUGAUAUGGGACGCUCUGUAGGUCUAAUCUUAUAGGUCUAUUCUUAAAGAUCUAUUCUUAUAGGUCUAUUCUUAUAGGUCUAUUCUUAUAGGUCUAUUUUUAUGUAGGUAUAUUCUUAAAAGAAAUCAGAGAUGGUGCUGAAUUCACAUAGACUCGAACCUACUUUACCUAAAGCAAUUAGUUUAAUCUUUCUACACAAAACUGUAAAAAAAUCUACAGAGGUCAGAACUUGUGUAAAUAGCGCUAAUCCACAACUUAUAAUUUGAGGCUUUAUUUGCACAAAGUGACCCAUAUAACAUCUCCCCUUAGCCACAAUCGGAUUUAUUGUCUUCUGAUUGAUAUAAUUUGUUAGCUUGAAGUGAAUUUCCCUAAAAGUCUAAAGAUUUAUAACGGGCGCGUAAAAUGGAUAGAAUUUUUUUAAAGCAAUUUUUUCUUAACAAUUGCAUAAUAUCUUGUUUUGUUCAGGGAUGAAGACGACAUUAGCAUACAAUGCCGCUGAGCAUUCUCGAAAUUUUGCGCAUUUAGAGUUUAGUUGGCGGGUUAUGAUUUUUUUCAAGCACGCAAAUUGUUAAGGCUAGUUUUGUUCAAAAAAUUUCUAGCUUUGGUUUUGAAACUGCUGUCCCUCUGCCCCCUGCAGCAGGGUAAAUCCAAUUAUCUAGAUGAAAGCCAUGAGAGAUGUGCAAUCAUUGUUUUUAUAUUCUAACCAUUUACCGGGGAAUUUACAAAGAGCAGAACUAAAUCUAGGAAUCAAACCUAAACGUGAACAAAUCAACGAAUUUUUUUAGAACUUUUAUACUAGGUCUCCUUACUGCAACCUAAACAGUUUUAAAAACAAGUCACAGAGCUAAUAUAGGCAGAUUUAAAAUCAAUUAUGUACUGUAUACCCAAUCAUCAAGCUUGUAGCAUACAGUACAGCAUACACAGUAACAGUACAAUUGAAUUGGAUGGGAGCAUAUCUGAGUCCAAAAUUUAAAAGAGUAUCGUUGAACGAAACCUUCCAGUUUCCUUUUGGGGGGUCUUAAUAUUUGUGUAGAUUUUGAUUUAAGAGAUUCGAAAAAAAUGGAGAAUAUGAAGAAACUAAAUAAAAUAAUAUUUCAUAACAAAAGUAUUGAUAUUCAAAAACUGCCUAAAUCCAUUCGUGAAACUUGAAUUCCAAAACUGGUUUUCAUAACGAUACCCUGUCUUAAAUUUUGGGCUCUGACCUUUUUUGUUGUACACUGUACAGUGCACACUGUGAACCUUUAAUCGUACAUAAAUUCUAUUGUACAGCGAACUUAACUAAACCACAGUUGUACUGCACUGCUAUGUACUCGAUAGUCCCUAAUGUAAUGUAAAUGGUAUCAAUAUGAUGCUGAUGUUGAUUAAUCUUUAGUCUCGAAAAUUUUAGUUUUUUCUCUGUUGUUAUUUUUUUACAGUGAGCUCCAAUAAUCAUGGGAAUGUGAGAAACUUAAGGUCAUAUUUUACUAAAAAUAUAGAAACAAAACGUAUUUGAAUUUUUAAGUUUUAGAUACAAAACAUUUAACAUUUAAACAUUUAAAAUAAUGAUUUUAACUCAAACUUUAACGUUGUUUAACCUUAACCACGCAAUCUUAAACUUUUAAUCAUUUCCCAUGUUUUUUCGGGGCUCUCUGCAUUUUAAUCCUUUCUGUAAAUUUCAAUGAAGACAUACAAUAAUUCGGCCAAAUCUAUAUUUGGUUCCACAGUUGGCACUAGAAUGUAUUUAUGUAUUGUUGUAGAUGUUUAUAUCAAUACAAUGAAUACGACUUUUGUAUUCAACUUUUCUUUUCUAACAUUUUUUUUAAAGAAAAGCCGUUAAUGGGCAGCAUCUCUUUAUUUCUAUGUUUAUGUGUAUCCAUGCUGUUUGAAAGCUUGGUAGAAACAAUAAAUUUUAAUCGAAAGUCGUCUUCUAUUAUAUUGAUAUAUACGACGAUGAAUGUGGACAAAAUGGUGAAUAUAUUUCAAAUAAUUGAUCUAAACGUGGCCUUCUUGCACUACAUUUAAUGCAACUUAACAAUAUAUUUAUCAAAAUUGUAAUACUGAUCAAAAGUGCUAAAAGCUUUAUGCUAAAUUAUAUGUUAAAAGAAAUCAAAGUCAUCGAUUGUGGGAGGGGCUCAGGGGAAUUAAAAAAAAUAAAGUAUGCAAAAUUAAUGAUUAAAAAUUAAAAAUUGCCUUUUUAUAGCCUAUAUAUAUGAACGUAUUUUUGAAUUGUAUUUAGCACAAUUUAGAUCUAAAGAACAAAAUUAUGGCUGAAUUUUUUAAAGAACAUAAUCCAACUUUUUGACAAGGAUUUCAAAAUAUGUACACAAUGCAUGCCCUAUAUGCCCUAUAUAUAUAUAUAUAUCAUGUACACUACGCACUUAAUCUGCAUGUAAAUACGCAUUUGAACAUGCGCCUAUGUCGCGUAAUAGCGAGCUAUCUAGCACAUGUAACCCCCCCCCCGUCACAAUGGAAUUGUUUUUACACGAUAUUUCUCGCCUGUAUUUGUAUUUUUGUUAAUUUGCUCAGAAUUCUUAAAUUCUAAGAUGAAUGUUAACUUAAUGUGGUUAAACCUCGUAUUAUAAAUAUUGUUACGUACAUGUUUGAUGCAUCAAAUAAAUAUUUAUCCCCGUGAA